UUCUGUUCUGCUGUUUGUCUUCACGGUUCUUUCACAAUCUGGAGUAGAGCAGAGGGGAUGCUGGGACAUCCACCUCUCUGCAGAGCGCACAUAUCUGAUCAUAAAGCUAAAUUUAAACCAAAGUGACUGCGUGCGUCGUGUGUGUAUGACUUCAUAUUUACAUGCCCUCGCUAUUCGGUGAACGUAUGAGCAAGCGGCCUGAUAUUCAAGGAUUGUGACACGACAUUAAUGCACAGCCAAGAGGUCCAAACACACAGAAUCAUGCUGUUGUGCUGUGUUCGUCAAAGGUUCAACAUGUUCACACCUUUUAGCUGAACCUCAGCUUUGGAAACACAACUCUUCUGCUGCUGUAUAUAAACCGGCUAUAACUCAGAUUUAGUGGAAACGCCCAUAAAUAGCUGAAGUCGUCAUAGGAGUCGGAGGACAGUAACAACAAUGGCCGGUCUUCUUGGCCAUGGUCUUCUCCAUCAUCUUCUCGAUCUUUCAGAGGAGGUUUUCGUUUUUAAAAAGGUAGAUCACCUUCUCCGGGUCGGAGAGGCGGUCCUGCCUCAAGUGGAGGAGGUCAAGUAUCUCAGGAUCUUGUUCACGAGUGAGGGUAGGAUGGAGCGGGAGAUCGACAGGCGGAUCGGAGCGGUGUCAGCAGUGAUGCGGACGCUUAACCGAUCAGUCGUGGUGAAGAAAGAGCUGAGCCGUAAGGAGAGACUCUCGAUUUACCGGUCGAUCUACGUGCCGAUCCUCACCUAUGGUCAUGAACUUUGGGUAAUGACCGAAAGAACGAGAUCUCAGAUACAAGCGGCUGAAAUGGGUUUCCCUCUCAGGGUGUCCGGGCUCAGCCUUAGAGAUAGGGUAAGGAGCUCGGACACUCAGGAGGCGCUCAGAGGAGAACCGCUGCUCCUCCACAUCGAGAGGAGUCAGCUGAGGUGCCUUCUGGACGCCUCCCGUUCAAGGUGUUCGGGACAUGUCCCACCAGGAGGAGACCUCAUGGCCGGCCCAGGACCAGGUGGAGGGAUUAUAUCUCUCGCCUGUCCUGGGAGCGCCUGUGAAUCCCCCUGGAGGAGCUGGUGGAAGUGGCUGAGGUGAGGGCCGUAGCUGCUGCCCCCGCGACCUGGACCCGGAUGAAGCAGAAGAAAACGACGACGACGACGCAAACAGCUCAAAUUUUCACCCCAACAGAAAAUGUUCGGUCGGAUUCAUCGUGAAAUAGUCAGCAAAUGGAGUUGAUGUCAGCUGUAUCACGCACUUGUUGCAAACCAAGAAGAGCAAGAGUAGAUUUCUGAGCGUCGUCCAAAAACCAUGAUGUACACAUUGCACUGAGGCUGCCUGAUUUCAACCUCAUCUCUCUUAACCUCCAGGGAAGACCUCACCCUGAAAGAUGUACAAAACAUAAACUCUAAAAAAGUUUCUUAAAGAGGGUUGAAGCAAAAGAGUCGAACAGGAUGAGAAAUCAGAGUCGCACAGAUGACAAAGUUUCUGAACAACUAGUUUGACUUUUUCCCAAAAAUACCAGUUAUUUGUUGUUGUUUUUUUAAAGUCAUGUUGGACUCAGCAGAGAGAGAAAACACUUGUGUGUGCAUUUCUAAUUUCCUCCGCAUCACUGCGAACAUAACCUCAAACCAGAGAGAGGAAGAUCAGUGAGAUGAUGAUGGAGCAGAAACGUGAAAGUUUAGUUCAUGUUCACACUCGGCUGCUUUACCAUGAGUGUGUGUUUAAGUGUGUUUGUGUGUGUGUGUGUUUGCGUGUGUUUGUGUGUGUGUGACCGUUUCAACUCGAUUUUCUCUCAGAUGUAUUGACAGCGGCGAGCGGAGAUGGAGAGCUCGACAUGUUUCUCAGAAAAAGCAGGAGACAGGGAGCCAUCACUCUUCUCUUCUCACCACACGUCCCCCCCUCUUCAUCCUCCUCCUCCUCCUCCUCCUCACCGCUCUUCUCCUGCGCUGAAGACGUAAGUGCCUUAGACAGAUGUCUGCUGCCUCUUGUCUAAAACCCUCAACGCGAGCUGCUGAGCUUGGCAAACUCUAAUUAAGAUCAAUAUUUCAAUUUUUAGUAAAAGCGCACGAGACGAGAGAAGACAAGAGGGAGAGAAAUCAUUUGUCCACGAAGACGUAGAGAGACAAAAAGAGAGGUCAACUGUGAUUCUUCAUCCUCCGAGUAUGUGUGUGUGUGUGUGUGUGUGUGUGUGUGUGUGUGUGUGUGUGUGUGUGUGUGUGUGUGUGUGCUGAGGAGAGUGUAUUUGACUCUUCUGAGGUUCCUCUGUAUUUGUCUCUUUUUCAGAUUUUACCCACUCAGUGAACAAACCGAGGUCUGAAACUAACUUUUGAUUGACAGGUGGUGAAAGCAGGGCGGUCAGGUGAUCCCACAGGUGGUCGGCGUCCGUCUAGAACAGGUACACACUCCAGGAUGAUCCAGACUUUUUUUUACAUCCAGAAUGAUGACGUUGAAGGACAGAGGCGCCAGGUUUGAGGACUAAUACAGAUUGGGGUUCACCUGAAGGACGCCAAUUGCAGUGGCGUUUGCAGUGGCGUAGGUCGGCCCUGCACCCUCAGCAGCCAUGUUGACCAUCUCCUCAGACAUCCGCCCUUUUUUUUCUCCUCAAUGCGUGAUCGACUGCUGCACGUUUAUCAGCUUCACCUCAAAUCUACUAAACUUUAGGAUUUAGUUGCCAUGGUUACCUGUAAACAAACACAGCAAGAGAAGAAAGUGUCAAUAUGACGAGCAUUUACGUCACACUGCCAUCUAGCUUUUUGGUGGAGUAUUGCGGACGAACGAGAGGCCCGAUCCCAAACCGCCCCCUACACACUCACCCUUCUCUCAGGGUAUGGGACGCCCUCCUCACUACAACGGAAAACAGAAAGAUUCAUCGCCAUAGCAACACAAAGACGUGUCCUGUGCAUGGCAGCGUUUCUUUUCUUAGUAAACGGGCAUCAUGUUCAGUUCUGAUCCACUCCUGCUGCCUCGUUUUUUCAUUUUCCAAGUAAAAUCAUAAAUCCAGUUUUCAUCACAGUGACAGAAGAAGAACUAUACUUCUGAUUGUUCGUGAUUCCACACGUCUUUGAACCCUUUUACUCUUUGACAUGAGCCUGACCAAUCAGAUCAAACAUCGGCACAGAGUAAGAUUUUUGAGUUUCCAUUUAAUCUUUCCAAACCACGUCUUUUGUGAUAUUUUUUUCUCAGUAAGACAAAGUUGGACACAUACAGGACUUAUAUUUUAUAUGUUUUUUCCUCCUCCUCUUUCAUUUUUGCCGGCGCACUACCUGCAAAUCCUGUCAUGAGUGUGCACAGGUACAGACUCACUAUUGAAGGGCUGAACGGUCCACUCACCCUCCUCACUCUGUGGUUUGGGACGGCCUUCAAUAUGGCGGAGGGGAAGUGUGUAGAGGGCGGUUUUUUUGUCUCCACAGCAGAGUUUAAGUUCUUAUGGGUCAAAUCUAGACCUGUGAUUGGAUGUUCAACCACUGCAGCAACACGGUUCCUGGUUCUCUGACUGCCUGAUAGUGUUGUGUCAUUCACGAACGAUUCGUUCAAAAGAACUGAAUCUUUCAAGUGAACGUACUGAACCGAAUCACUUCCUCGAGUGAUUCGUUCGUUUCUCACUUCAGUUGAGCUGAAGUGAGAAACAGCAUGACGUCUGAAAUAAUCGCAUGAAAAAAACGCUCCCGGUGUGUAAGGACCUUUAUAAACAAGAUCAUUUUUACAAACCUGUUUGCCAGAGAAACACAGACAAACACUCUUGUCUCCCGGUCCCAGAAGCUCUGAUCUGAACUGAAUCCUGAACCGUUCAGCUGUGUGUCAGCUCAGGAGGUCGGAGUCGCAGGCUUCUCCCGCCAAACGCUACAUGAUUCAGUGAUUUAGUGAACGAAUCUUUUUAGUGAACUGAUUCUAGUGAUUCAGUACAUCUAAAAGAACUGCCGUGCCCAUCACUACUGCCUGAGUGCAUGAAUGGCGGUCUCUUCCGCCCAAUGACAGCCUGAAUACCCUCUGAUAAAGUCAGUCUACAGUUAGACGCCCGUGUUCCUGUCUUGUUUUCACUCGGUCUGUUGCUCUUAUCAGUUCUUCUCUGGUGAACAAACAUGAUUUCUUUACAGCUUCAUACAUGUGAUGAAACUCUGAUUCCUCAGUAAGCCUCAGUGUUAACUUCUCUGUCCGUGCACACGUGUGUGUGUGUGUCACAUCCCCGCACAAUUAAAGCUGAAUCCUCCACGGCAGCAUUAGUGGCUUAACAGCGCUAACAAAAACCCCUCCAGGCCUGAGAUAACCCUGAGCCACCUCCCAGAGCCCGGCUGGAGGAUCUAGAUGCCGGCUACCUUGACUCAAAGCUCGCCUCACGCCCGGCUCAAAGCGCCCGUCGAUCCUCCACCUUGCUGAUGUCCAUUUUGCUUAAAUCGAGAGAACUGCACUUGCAGCGAAGUCUCAAUAUGCAAAGGCACAAUGAAAACCCUGACUUCAAAAAUUUAUGUCUCAAGCCCCCGGCCGCAGACACUCCCCUUCCCCUGACAAUGAAUGGACCACAGCAGAUCUUCUUAAACGUUUCAAUGCAGAAUGCUUAGCUCUGCGUUUACGGACCAGCUCCUGCUUAUUUGAUAAAAAAAGAAAGAAACCUCUAAUGACUUAGCGCUACUAAACUUCAAAUACCUCGAUAUGAUUUCCAUCCCUUCAUCUCCUACUCUUCUUUUCAUCCUCGCCAGCAGAUUUGAAGAGGAGGGGGGACGCGUAUUUCAUGGCCAUUCGGACUGGAAGUUAAGCUCAGCAGCUGUGCAAGGUUUUCCUCCUCACAUCUGACCAAGUUAAACUUACAGCCACCUGUUUUUUUCCGCACAUCGGCACUUUAAACGCAGAUAUAUCACUCAUAUAUGUGCUGCUAGAUGGGACUCAGGGGGGUAACCGCUGCUGCUGAAGAGGCUAAACGGGUCAGGAGUAGAGCUGUCCCGGUUUAAGUCCUGCUCCCAUGAUACCAUCGACAUCCUGCCCACCCUCCCCGCCCCCUCAAACCCUCUCCUCCUCCUCCUCCUCCUCCUCCUCUAACCCCAGAAAAAAAAGACAUAUGUGUCCGGGAUGGAGACGCACGGAGGGGCUUAAUUAUCCGUCGAUCCGUGGAGAUGAGACUGGAUGCAAUUUGUGGUUAAUUGCGAAUGAAAACCCCGCAGACCAGCGCCAGGACCAUCCAAUCAUACUUAACCCGCGCGCAGCCACAGCGGCCUCCUUACAUCCUCGCGGAAAUGCGCAUUGAUUUCUGGGUAGAGGGGGGGGCGCGGCCUCAGAUCGAUCAGUAUUGAUAGAUUUGGUAGUUUGUGGUGUCAGAAUCAUCCUCGGACUUCUCUUAAAGAGACUUGGAUGAGUUUAGUGGAUCAAAUCAGCUGUUUUUAAUACGGAGAAGAAGAGACUCUGAGUUUAAUGACAACUUGACAAGAACUUGUUUGGACCUUCUGUCUGUUUUUCUUGUUAUUAGACUUUAUUAUCAUCUUUAUCGACAUAAAACCGUCUUCUUUCAAAUGUUUGAUUUUACAAAAACACACAAAAAUAAAGACAAGUUUAGUUCUGGUUUAGUUGUGCCAGUGUAGGGGAGACCGGGGUUGGUUAUCACGCCUCUCAUUCUCAGGUCUCAUCCAUAGACUGUUUAUACUUCGUUCCGCCUUUCGCCAGUAUACGGGUUUGAAGUCGAAUCGCUCUCGGUAAUUCUGCGUUUUUUCUCCAUGUCCUAAAACCAACAUUGUGAAGUAGCGUUGUACGCAUUUGGCGGGAGAGUCGCGGAGAGUCACUGUGAUGACAUUCGGCUCUGACGGCGUUUCCCCCAGGUGAACGAUGCAAUCUUCGUACGUAUUAAGUGUCUAGUAACUACAUGUCAACAUCGAAACCAGGGGGGAGAAACAUUUAUAUUCUGUGUAAUAAAUCUCUAAAGUUUGUCCACAGCUCCAUAGGGAUUGCUGGAGGAGGCGGGAUUUAUGACCUAUACUGCAGCCCGUCACCAGAGGGUGCUGAGGAGGCAGACGGCGUCCAUCCUAUCUUCAGUCUAUGGUCUCCUCAUGAUCAGAGCG